rnacentral:rRNA from 1 species
GACGUAGGGGUGCGAGCGUUUGUCCCGGAAUUAUUGGGGCGUAAAAGGGCUCGUAGGCGGUUUGUCGCGUCGGGAGUGAAAACCAUGAGCUUAACUCAUGGCUUGCUUUCGAUACGGGCAGACUAGAGGUAUGCAGGGGAGAACGGAAUUCCUGGUGUAGCGGUGAAAUGCGCAGAUAUCAGGAGGAACACCGGUGGCGAAGGCGGUUCUCUGGGCAUUACCUGACGCUGAGGAGCGAAAGUGUGGGGAGCGAACAGG